GUCUUUUUGAAAAUAAUUUAAAGUCUAAUCUGCCCACUGAUUUUAAAUUAAAGGGCUGCAGUAUUUUGACUGUACAAAGGUAGCAUAAUCAAUAGUCUCUUAAUUGGUGACUUGUAUGAAAGAUUUGAUGAAAUAUAAACUGUCUCUAUUAAAUUUAUAAAAUUUAAUUUUUUAGUUAAAAAGCUAAAAUAUGUUUAAAAGACGAGAAGACCCUAUAGAGUUUUAUAAUUUAUUUAUUUUUAAUUUUGUUUAAAUAUUAAAAUUAAAAAUAAAUGAAUUAUUUUAUUGGGGUGAUAGAAAAAUUAGAUAAACUUUUUUUAAAAUUUUUACAUUAAUAUAUGAUUAUAUGAUCCGUAAAUUACGAUUAAAAGAUUAAAUUACCUUAGGGAUAACAGCGUAAUUUUUUUUUUUAGUUCAAAUAAGAAAAAGAGUUUGCGACCUCGAUGUUGGAUUAAGAUAAAAUUUAAAAUGCAAAAGUUUAAAAUUUUUGAUCUGUUCGAUCAUUAAAAUCUUACA
rnacentral:rRNA from 1 species